rnacentral:rRNA from 1 species
GACGUAGGGUGCAAGCGUUGUCCGGAAUCAUUGGGCGUAAAGAGCGUGUAGGCGGUCCGGUAAGUCGGCUGUGAAAGUCCAGGGCUCAACCCUGGGAUGCCGGUCGAUACUGCCGGACUAGAGUUCGGAAGAGGCGAGUGGAAUUCCCGGUGUAGCGGUGAAAUGCGCAGAUAUCGGGAGGAACACCUAUGGCGAAGGCAGCUCGCUGGGACGUUACUGACGCUGAGACGCGAAAGCGUGGGGAGCAAACAGG